rnacentral:rRNA from 1 species
UACGGAGGGGGCUAGCGUUGUUCGGAAUUACUGGGCGUAAAGGGUGCGUAGGCGGGUCUUUAAGUCAGGGGUGAAAUCCUGGAGCUCAACUCCAGAACUGCCUUUGAUACUGAAGAUCUUGAGUUCGGGAGAGGUGAGUGGAACUGCGAGUGUAGAGGUGAAAUUCGUAGAUAUUCGCAAGAACACCAGUGGCGAAGGCGGCUCACUGGCCCGAUACUGACGCUGAGGCGCGAAAGCCAGGGGAGCAAACGGG